rnacentral:rRNA from 1 species
ACAGGUGCUGCAUGGCUGUCGUCAGCUCGUGUCGUGAGAUGUUGGGUUAAGUCCCGCAACGAGCGCAACCCUUGCCUUUAGUUGCCAGCAGUUCGGCUGGGCACUCUAAAGGGACUGCCGGUGUUAAACCGGAGGAAGUGGGGAUGACGUCAAGUCCUCAUGGCCGUUUAUGACCAGGGCUACACACGUACUACAAUGGCCGAUACAAAGGGCAGCGACACUGCGAGGUGAAAGCCAAUCCCGUAAAAUCGGUCUCAGUCCGGAUUGGAGUCUGCAACUCGACUCCAUGAAGUUGGAAUCGCUAGUAAUCGUGGAUCAGCAUGCCACGGUGAAUACGUUCCCGGGCCUU